rnacentral:sRNA from 1 species
UCUGCCUGAGUGGGCUGACAAGCUGGAGGGAAGGGCGCCGUUGUUCUGUCUUCGUUACUGUCCUUUCCGGGUUUGGCUUCUCCUCUGGGAGUGGCUGCAGGAGCCUGCCAUAGUGAUAUUGAUGGAAAGGGGAAAGGUCAAGGUUUGGGUAGGAAGAAGAGGACUUCCCACCCAGUGUUAGGAUUAAUCAUUUAUUGGGCGCCUCUUGAACGCCAGGCGAUGCGAGACUGAAAAAGAUCAAGUCCCUGCUCACAUUUUUGGGAUGGAGGUGAGGUGCAGAAAACCCUCCCUCGGGGCACUGCCAGCCCUCCUCGCAGCCCCGCCCUCCGGCCCGCUGCCGGCCUUCCGGGCGGUAGCCAGGAGCGGAGCCCGCAAAGACCCAGACCUGCGCACUACAACUCCCAAGAGGCCUCGCGACCAGACCGCCGACGGGCCACUGGAGAACGGUGCGUCUGCGGCGAAUCCCGUCGCCCAGCGCACUGCAGCGGGUGGGCCUCAGUGCGCGUCGCCUCCCAACCAGAGAGGACGUGGCUUACGGCGCCGCCGGAAGUUCCGGAAAGUGGGCCUUGAGGCUGGCCCGAGCUUCCGGGUUGGUCGCGCGCUUUCCUGCAGCUAAGAUGGCG